rnacentral:lncRNA from 1 species
ACAUGCGCGCUGUCCUGGCUCGGGAGAUGGACGGCCGCCGUGUUUUGGGCCGGUUCUGGAGUGGCUGGCGGCGGGGCCUGGGUGUCCGCCCAGUGCCCGAGGACGCAGGCUUUGGCACCGAAGCCCGGCAUCAGAGGCAACCCCGCGGCUCCUGCCAACGGUCGGGGCCCCUCGGGGACCAGCCCUUCGCGGGGCUGCUGCCAAAAAACCUCAGUCGGGAGGAGCUGGUUGAUGCGCUGCGGGCAGCCGUGGUGGACCGGAAAGGUGAGGGGUGAGAGGCACGGCCGCACAAGGACCGGGAGGGGACUGCCUCGGCGUGCAGUUGGGCUCUCCAUUGAAGCCACGGGAUCAGCCCUGCUUCUGCCUCCCACUAGCAGCAUGAGCUGGGACAAGCCACCUAAUUUGCACCCUCUCCCCGCUUUUAACCCUACUGCCAUGAUGCAGUAGGGUUAAGAGUGGGGAGAAGAUGCAAAUAACUACCGAGCCUUGCACAUAGCCGGCGCUCAGUUACGGGAGUUGCUAUACUAGAUUAUUGUUUAUUGGCCGCGGUGGCUCACGCCUGUAAUCCCGGCACUUUA